GACGAACGCUGGCGGCAGGCCUAACACAUGCAAGUCGAGCGAGCGGCGGACGGGUGAGUAAUGUAUGGGGACUGCCCGAUAGAGGGGGCUCACUACUGGAAACGGUGGCUAAUCCCGCAUACUGUCGGAUAACCCAUAUGGGAUUUGCUCGUAGGUCAGGUAAUGGCUUACCUUGGCGACGAUCCCUAGCUGGUCUGAGAGGAUGAUCAGCCACACGGGAACUGAUACACGGCCCAGACGCCUACGGGGGCAGCAGUGGGGAAUAUUGCACAAUGGGCACAAGCCUGAUGAAGCCAUGCCGCGUGAAUGAAGAAGGCCGUAGGGUUGUAAAGAACUGUCAGUCGGGAGGCGUUACCGACAGAAGAAGCACCGGCUAACUCCGUGCCAGCAGCCGCGGUAAUUC
rnacentral:rRNA from 1 species